ACAGUGAAAGAGGCCACACCCACUAUACAGGAGGCGGAGUCAGUGACACCUCGUAGCCCCUCCUCUGCCAGUACCUGGGGAGAGCCAACAGAAGUGAAUCCCGGGCUGUUCCUGGACUCUCCUACCGACAGUCCCUUUGCCAAUCCUGCUUUUCCCACAUUGAGAGAAAUUAACAUUGACAGUAUUCAGGCCCCAGAGCCCAGAACCAAAGAUGAGUUCUUGCAAUAUGCUUGUGAUUUGCCCCUG